UGUUGUGUGGUAUAGCGGUUAAUUCACUUGACUCUCAAUCAAAGGGUUGAGGGUUCGAAUCCCAACCCGGCAC
rnacentral:tRNA from 1 species